UACGUAGGCAGCAAGCGUUGUUCGGAGUUACUGGGCGUAAAGGGUGCGUAGGCGGCUUUUUAAGUCUGGUGUGAAAUCUCACGGCUCAACUGGGAGGGUGCGCCGAAUACUGAGAGGCUAGAGUGUGGGAGAGGAAAGUGGAAUUCCUGGUGUAGCGGUGAAAUGCGUAGAUAUCAGGAGGAACACCGGUGGUGUAAACGGCUUUCUGGACCAUAACUGACGCUGAUGCACGAAAGCGUGGGUAGCAAACAGG
rnacentral:rRNA from 1 species